CCUUGACUGGAAAUGUGAAGGGAACAAGCUGACACUUAAGAUUAUCUAUUCCUAUGAGAGAGUUAGCUUCAGCCCGCAUCUUCUUCUCAGACGCUAUUUUUACACUGGACCCUAACAUUCUAGAAGGAAAAAUUAAAAGAGCUUGUUCCUGGGAAUCAUGAGAACAGACUGGAUACCUAAACUUUGGCUGACUGAAAACGUAACCUGGAAGCACCCUGCCGUCUUUUUCAGCUCUUCUAUCAACUUAUCCUGAUCUUCCUUCCCUGCAGUCUUGACCUCGUUGCUCAUCUGCUGUACCUCCGCACCACCACUCACUCUCUUCCUGAUGUCCUGCAGCUCACUACUGCGCCGUCUCAGGGUGGUUUGGCUUGCAGUGCCGCUGGACACGCUAGAAUGCUGGAGUUGCGCAUACUGCGCUUGAUGAGGACAGUUUUCAGUUUCUCUUCAAAUGGGGACAAGGACAGUUCUUCAGGUCUGCUUAACAAGUCUGAAGGGCUGAGGGCUGCUGGUUUGAAGUGUGUGCAUGCACACUUGCUGUCAUGGUGGGCCUUGUGGUGUUUUAAGCACCCGUGUUUCCUGCACACACUGCACGUGACCUCAAGGCUUCCCAAGGCUCUCAAAGUGAUCUCGGAAGGAGGUUGUAUUGCUUCAACAUCAUCAAGAUGUCCUGAUUGGCUGAUGUCGUCUGAGACUCUUGUAGACACUGGCACAGACAAUCUGCACAGACAAGACUACCGCACGUCUUGAGUUCGAUAGGUUUGUCUACUAUCUUUUUACAGAUAGGACAGUCAAAACAACCUUGCGACGGUAGUACUGUGUCUUGUUCGCAGAAGGUGGAGGGAGCUAUCAGCUUGAUGUGCUGGAUGGCUGACUGACUGAAAUGAGCCUUUUGCCGGUCUGCCAGGUUUGUAUUGCUUCUUCGGCCUCCCACCAACACUGAGGUCGUCGUGCCUGUCAGAGCAGACAUAUCUCCAACCUGAGGGACCUUUCUUGUUCUUAAAGAGAGAUCCACAAACCCUGCAGUGCCUGCAAAGUGCCUCAAGAUGUUCUUGACUCAUUCCUGAAGGUUGAUGCAAAUGAAUUGUCUGUUUUUGUUCAUUAUAUAUCAAUGUGCAUGUGUAAAUAUCGUAAAUUUGUGUCAUGUUUCAUAUUGUUGCUGCCAAAAAAUUUUGUCCAAUACCUGUCGUUGUUGAAACUGUAGUAUGGAACUUCCUCUUUCAGUUGUUGCAAAUUUCACUUCAAAGAAACACUCUGGUAGUCAGUGAGUAGCUAUCAAAACAUCCACUUACAACUUGUA